AGUGCUGUAGAAACUCCACACAGUUAAGCAGUGUGUCUGCUUACUGUCUGUUAUAUAACUUUAGACCCAAGGACAAUGCUUGACAGAGUCAGUAUUCAAAAAUCUGUCCAAGGUGCCUUUGUUUGGUGCUCUCUGACGAGGAGUGUUUGAGCAAUAUAUGCACAAGGUUGCCCUUUGGAGAUCUCAUCCAGGUUCAUCGUGAAGAUUUGAGUAUAGAUUUAGAGCUAUGGGAGAUAGAGAAUAAUCAUCAGAAGGAAAGCUCCACAUAAAACAUAGACGGGGCAGUGAGAGAUGGCAAGAGUGAAGAUCUUGAUUUACACACAGGACUUCUGCCAAUGUGUGUUAGAAGAAAUUGCUGCGGUUUCUUCUAACAGCCGCCAAAACUUGAAUUGGAGAUGCUAGAGAGGAAGAUGUAGAAAAUGGGCAAAAUAUCAGCCUGAUACCAUGAGGAUGAAUGAGAGAGAGCUUACCCUUGCCUCUCCACAACUACGGCAGCUUGGUGGUUUUGGACCCAGUCUGAAAAUGUAGAAACUGAGCUGAGACUUAUUUCCGUUGAGCAUUUCUCAAAGUAUGACAUAUGCGGCAGCACUUGAGAUGAUUUUAGGGUUUGUGGACAAACUUUGUUAUCAUGCCAAUUAUAGAUAUAUCUAAUGACCAUAGAAAAUGUGAUUUGUCCCUUAAAUCUCUGCCAUCUGCCUUGUAUAUUGUUUUUUUCCAGAAUGAAGCCAAGUAAAAACAGUGAGACUGAAUAAUUGUACAAA
rnacentral:lncRNA from 1 species